AUAGCAAAUGAUGAUCGUUUGUAUCUUCAACUUAAUUGCAUUUAACAGUAACUGACAGUUCAAUUUUAAACACGGCAAAUCAAUUUUUCCGAGUUACUGCGGAGAAAAAAAUUUGCUAAAAAUUCGAAACAAUUUUUUAGGAAAAGUAACGAAAUUGAAAAGCGAUGAUACUUUUUUUUACCUUCGCAGUGGAAUAACUGAAUAUGCAUAUCGAUAGAAUGGGCGGGCAGUAUUUUAGGAAGAAUACAAUUUCCGUAAUAGUUCGAUUAACAAGAGAAGUCAAUUUUCGAAAACACGGAUUAUACGAACGAAAAAUUUGCUUGAAAUUCGAAUGGAUACAUCUCACAACGAAACUAUCGAAUUUAGCGUGUUCAACUAAAAUCGUCCAACUCUCUCUCUUUCAUGUCAAAAUUCUCAUUUGAGAAAUCAAGAAUAUAAUUUCCCAGCUUGAAAUGAAAGCCGAAACGCGAUAUGUUAAAAGUUUGACUGCGCGAGAAAUUGAAUUCGUCGUCAUAUUUCGUUCCGGUGACUUUUUCUAUCUACGCAUUUGAGUUUUAACGAAACUUCAUAACAGCUUCGCGUUUCUCUAAAAAAGUACGCGAACGCUAUGUGUAAUUUUCGCAGGAACAAUGAAACGAAUGUUUCACAAUGACAAAAU
rnacentral:misc_RNA from 1 species